rnacentral:tRNA from 1 species
GAGGGUAUAGCUCAGUGGUAGAACACAUGCUUAGCAUGUGUGAGGUCCUGGAUUCAAUCCCCUGUACCUCUA